UACGUAGGUCGCAAGCGUUGUCCGGAUUUACUGGGCGUAAAGAGCGCGCAGGCGGCUGGUCAAGUCCGAUGUGAAAUCUCCCGGCUCAACUGGGAAACUGCAUCGGAAACUGAUCGGCUUGAAGAUGGGAGAGGGUAGUGGAAUUCCCGGUGUAGUGGUGAAAUGCGUAGAUAUUCGCAAGAACACCAGUGGCGAAGGCGGCUCACUGGCCCGAUACUGACGCUGAGGCACGAAAGCGUGGGGAGCAAACAGG
rnacentral:rRNA from 1 species